rnacentral:rRNA from 1 species
AUUCCAGCUCCAAUAGCGUAUAUUAAAGUUGCUGCAGUUAAAAAGCUCGUAGUUGGAUCUUGGGAGCGGGCGGGCGGUCCGCCGCGAGGCGAGCCACCGCCCGUCCCCGCCCCUUGCCUCUCGGCGCCCCCUCGAUGCUCUUAGCUGAGUGUCCCGCGGGGCCCGAAGCGUUUACUUUGAAAAAAUUAGAGUGUUCAAAGCAGGCCCGAGCCGCCUGGAUACCGCAGCUAGGAAUAAUGGAAUAGGACCGCGGUUCUAUUUUGUUGGUUUUCGGAACUGAGGCCAUGAUUAAGAGGGACGGCCGGGGGCAUUCGUAUUGCGCCGCUAGAGGUGAAAUUCUUGGACCGGCGCAAGACGGACCAGAGCGAAAGCAUUUGCCAAGAAUGUUUUCAUCA